AUAUAAUAAAAAAGAAACAUUAUAAAUUAAAAAAAAAAAUUAAAACGAAAAUAUAUGUAUAUGUAAUAUGAUUUCAUUAAAAAGAAAAGUUCACAAAAUAAAAAUAUUUCAUUUAAAAAAUAUUUUUAACAUAAAAUAUACUUUUGAAGUAAUAAAAUAUUUCUUUAUAUCUUUAUUUUCUUAGAUGAAAAUAUAUAUUUUCAUAUAAUGUGAUUUCAUAAAACAACAUUCACAC
rnacentral:lncRNA from 1 species